AAACGAACUGGUCGGCAUUUAUUACGAGAGGACGCAAAUUAACGCACGCAAUCAAUACAAUUCUCGCGAUAAUUAUUUUCAAUAAUCAUGACAAUUUUUACCCCAGUAACAGGUAAUGCCAAUUUCAUUCUGUAAAGAAAUGUUUAAAACAGCAACCCGAUAGUCAUAUUGUACUAACUCUUAACUGUAUGUAAAGUGUCGCUAAAUCCAUUCAGCGUAUGGACUAAUUCGGCGACCAGAAAUAGAAGCCACUUCUGUGGUGGCAUCACGCUCGUGGACAGGUGCGCGCCACAAGUUUAUGCCCGCCCACACGCGAGUUGCUUCACCCUUGCUCCUCUUAUACAGCCUGAUUCGAACACUUAUACGAUGACAAACUUUCUAGGCAAAGAAUCAAUUCUAAGUAUACUUUUGGUAACGUACAGUUUUUAAUGACACAGAAAGGAUCAUUCAAAGGCAGCAUUCUUAUGCACAGGUAUUAUCAAGGCUGUACUCUUCACGAUAAUGGGCGUCGAUUGCCCGUGGGAACGUGGAUCGGGAAGGACAUGAUGGAAACCCUAUUCAACAAGUGAGGGUGGGGUGCACGUUCCCAUCCCUUUACGAUAACCGUGUCAGCAACACGACCCAAUAACAAUACAAAAAUUCCGCACUGUGGAGCAAUUAAUGCUUUGCAAGCUGCAAAAGGAAACUGCUAUUGUGGGCGUUCAAAGGAUUUCCCUUUCCCGCCUGGUUCUGAAGGUAAGCGAACCUGUUCCCUUAAUUAUGCAUGUCUUCUACAGUCAGUCUGUAUUAAUCUCUUCGAACUGAUGGUAUAGUUCCCAUUUUUAUGGGCCACAAUUACCUGUUACACUAUAAACAAAUCUGAUUGAAUCAAAUAUAGGUCUACAAUAUUAAAUCAAGGCAUAUACCAUAACUGUGUGUGAUAUGCAUGACAGUUGUCUAGUUUUUGGCUUUGAAACGUCUGAAAUAUUGUCAACGUUAUAUGAACCCGAGACAAUUAUACCCAAUAAGUGAUGCAAAUAAUCAACACAUGCGCUUCCCGGCGUUUACCGGUAGAUUCAUGGCCGGUCGAUGAUGUGUAAGUUGCUGAAACUGUUUCUGAUGUCCUGUACCCUGAGCAGUCGAUAAACAAUGCCCUUUGACGUUAAUGCAUUUAAACCUUGCAACUGGAAAUGUUACAGGAAGGAACAGGGUUAUUCGUUUCAUCAGGUCGUUAGACAUCAUUUCCGGGUUUGGGUGGCAGUGGCUUGUAGAGGGAUUUAGUCUAAUUCUGCUAUUGUUCAUGGCAUUUAUUUUUUAACAACACUCACGCAAUCUGCCCCACUACUCCGUGUAACGAUGACUCGACUUAUCUGUAAAGGAAGUGCAAAGACGGUAAAGUCCACAAACCUAACAAACAUGACAAGGUGAUCUGGAGUCAGUUAUAUCAUAUCUGAAUCUGACCGAAGUGGAAUCAUUCUCUCAAAAUUCUUGAGGAUUACGUGCCGUUUGAAAGCUAUAGGAACAAGCCUAACGCUGCCCUAGACAAAAUUCUGCGGGUUACCAGCAUUGGGAUUGUGCAAAAGAACCCCGAAUGAAGUCCGUGCGUACAAGGCUGGUCGGUUCCGAGUGUGGACGCCGGAGCUUAUAUGACUGUUCGACUUCGUGAUAAACGAUGGCGGGACUUCCUAAACUCCGAACCCGCGGGGUGCUUCUCGUGCUGUUUCUUGCGGGAGAAUUUUUUUCGACAUCUGAAGCCGGCCAUGUUUUGUCACCUCACCUGUCGGAGAACAUGAGAAGAUUUCUUUGUAACAGAAGAUGUAACGGCUCAUGUCAACCGUGUAGAAUUCCACGAUCAACGAGAUGUAUGUUGUGUCGGCAGAUCUGUUGCUCCACCGAGCCUGGUGAAGAUGCCGCAGAUGGCCAAUGCUACCGAGAUACUUGCGAUGCACACAAUUUUCCAUGUGAACAAGAGCGUGCGAGAUCUGUCAUUUCGAAGACGCCAACGUCACAGAGUGCGAGUCCGAGGAUGGUGACGACAUCUGUUUGUACGACAGCUCCCAGUCAAACAGAAUCUACUGCGUCUGCAAGGGUAUCCCUGACGCUGUUCCAGGAAAAAAUUGCACCGAACAGCGACAAGAACAGGCGACGACAAAGGGCUCCACAACGCAGUGGGAAUAACAACAGCGGUGAAAGAAGGCGUAAAGAUGGAGAAAGAAUACAUUCGGAACAACAACCUACGGGACCAUCGACUGCAUCCAACAUUGGGCGGUCGGCAGCUACUGACACGUCUAAUCCAAUAUACGAAGUGUCCCUUCCCAUGGACCAAACUCAAGAUAAGAACAGCAAGUAUUUGGAGACAGAGUCAAGGACUUCACCGAAUACGUCUAACAUUAAGCAGCCGGCAACCAAUGACACAUCUAAUCCCAUAUAUGGUGUACCCCUUCCCAUGGACGAAAUUCAAGAUGGUAGCAGUAGACAUUUGGAGAAACGGCCAAAAGCUUCACCGAGUGAGUCCAACAUUGAGCAGUCGGCAACGAAUGACACACUUAAUCCCAUAUAUGGCGUGCCCUUUCCCAUGGACCAAAUUCAAGGGAUGACGUUUCCUAGCUUAUCUGGCGAUGGUGGCACCCCCUGUCGGUCGUGCGGUGACUCGGCCAAUGACGUAAUGCUGUCGCCUCCACCACCAGAAGUCGAAGGGAAGGAGGCUCGUGGCGGCCAUCAGUAUUUUGUUUUGGAACAGGAAAGCCCACCGAGUAGACAACCGCGUCAAAAUACGGAGGCCCCACAUGGAAAAGAGACUAUUGCGCUUGAAGGGUUCGCCCCAAGGGACGGACAUGGCACCAAAAAGGCAGGAGAGGAUCCUGAAACUACGAGGGACGACAUGCAGUCACGUGGGCUACAAGGUAACCAGUCAGAUGCACAUAGCCUUCCAAAAGGGCCCUACUAUUUCACACUGGAACCACCAUUUGGUAACCAAGACGACGAGACUUCGGAGACAACCUCGCAAGGAGAAAGCAGCGACACCGAGGGGUACAAUCACGUCAAACGUCAACGCGCGCACGAGGCACAGAGCCCCAAUUACUCUCAUUUAACCCCACAGUCCGAAUACGAUCACAUCAACCGAUUUGGACACAUGCACUCCACAUAUGGUGAUAUGAGCCAAUUUCACGGCUACAGCAUGUACAGCCACUUGAAAUCUCACGACGAGAAAUAACGUGCGGAUGACUAAUUAUUAAUUUGAAUACCGUUGUGAAUUCGAUGCGUUUUGACAACUGCGUGGAAAUGGUGACAAUAACUGAAGCUGCAGCCGCAAUGCGUACACGGCCUGAGAGAAUGGCAGGAAAAAAACUCCCAGUUGCGGAUUUUUUUAUCAUAUCACGAGUGACCAUUCUUGAUAACCAUUUUGCUAUUUGCAAGCACUCCAAGGCCAUAACUCGAAUUGGUAAUUUGUAACUUACACUAACCUGUGUUAAGCAUUCCAUUUUCUUAUGAGUUAUUGGUUAAUGCAAUUUGAAUACAGAGUUGGGUUUUAUGGAAUCAAUUUUUACCCAUUUAUUGCUCAACGCUCCUUUCAUCGUGUUUAUUAAGUAGGUGUGAACUUAACCAUUAAACUUGACGUUAAAGACAGUCAUUAUCCCGUUUGUAGCAUUUUAUUAUUUUUCGAUAGGAAACAUUAAACGGCUUUAUUGGCCGAUUCCAUGUUAUCCGAUAAUUGGAGGUCAACCACAUAUUGCCUGGUCCAUCUUCUCUUUUCUGGCGUUGGUAAACACUACUCAGAUAUGCCUAUAAUUUCAUGUAAAGCUGACCAGUGGUUGAAAUGAUUUUUUAAAUCUUUCAAAGUUUUAUAGUGUAAUAUGGAUAAAAACUUCUGCACAUAUUGUUUUCUGUAAUUCCAACAUGGCAGUUUCCAUUUUUAAUGUAAAUAUUAGUUUGGCGGGUCAACGACUAGGGUAUACAUUAUGCCUCUAGGCCUACGUACAGGUACCAUGGGCCGUUAAGCUCAUUUGCACAGAUUGCAUAAAGAUAGAUACAGGGCAAAGGAAAAAAAAACUUCGGCUAUCAAGGAUUUGUAACAUGUUACUUAUCCCCCAUCGGGGGAUUGGUAGAUUGGUAACAGUCCAUUGAAUGACAAUCGUAUGGGGUAUGUAUUGUGAAAGUUAGAUGCAAAACAUGACGUCAUCAACAUGGUUACGAUAAUGACACAAAAUAAGGGACAUUAAUUAAACAUCUCGUGAUGGUUUUCCCUGUAAAAGUUCCUGUGGUGAAUCAGUCAGUCACAUUUGCAGUGAUGUCAGCGAUUAACAAAAUGCUAUAUAUCUCUAUUUUUUCGACCUCUGCAAUGAAAAUGUCAAGCAGUGUGCCGUACACUUUGAACCUAUAAUGAAUGAUUUGUGAAAUAUCAUAGUGUAAUCAUAUACAAUCACGCAGAAAUAAGUAACCGACUGACUAAAGGCAGGGUAGAUCUUGUGUAGAUCUUGAAUAAAAUACCGACAAGGUAAGGACAGGUACC
rnacentral:misc_RNA from 1 species